UUAAGUUAUUAAGGGCGCACGGUGGAUGCCUUGGCACUAGAAGCCGAUGAAGGACGUUACUAACGACGAUAUGCUUUGGGGAGCUGUAAGUAAGCUUUGAUCCAGAGAUUUCCGAAUGGGGAAACCCAGCAUGAGUUAUGUCAUGUUAUCGAUAUGUGAAUACAUAGCAUAUCAGAAGGCACACCCGGAGAACUGAAACAUCUUAGUACCCGGAGGAAGAGAAAGAAAAUUCGAUUCCCUUAGUAGCGGCGAGCGAAACGGGAAGAGCCCAAACCAACAAGCUUGCUUGUUGGGGUUGUAGGACACUCUAUACGGAGUUACAAAGGACGACAUUAGACGAAUCAUCUGGAAAGAUGAAUCAAAGAAGGUAAUAAUCCUGUAGUCGAAAAUGUUGUCUCUCUUGAGUGGAUCCUGAGUACGACGGAGCACGUGAAAUUCCGUCGGAAUCUGGGAGGACCAUCUCCUAAGGCUAAAUACUCUCUAGUGACCGAUAGUGAACCAGUACCGUGAGGGAAAGGUGAAAAGCACCCCGGAAGGGGAGUGAAAUAGAACCUGAAACCGUGUGCUUACAAGUAGUCAGAGCCCGUUAAUGGGUGAUGGCGUGCCUUUUGUAGAAUGAACCGGCGAGUUACGAUUUGAUGCAAGGUUAAGCAGUAAAUGUGGAGCCGUAGCGAAAGCGAGUCUGAAUAGGGCGUUUAGUAUUUGGUCGUAGACCCGAAACCAGGUGAUCUACCCUUGGUCAGGUUGAAGUUCAGGUAACACUGAAUGGAGGACCGAACCGACUUACGUUGAAAAGUGAGCGGAUGAACUGAGGGUAGCGGAGAAAUUCCAAUCGAACCUGGAGAUAGCUGGUUCUCUCCGAAAUAGCUUUAGGGCUAGCCUCAAGUGAUGAUUAUUGGAGGUAGAGCACUGUUUGGACGAGGGGCCCCUCUCGGGUUACCGAAUUCAGACAAACUCCGAAUGCCAAUUAAUUUAACUUGGGAGUCAGAACAUGGGUGAUAAGGUCCGUGUUCGAAAGGGAAACAGCCCAGACCACCAGCUAAGGUCCCAAAAUAUAUGUUAAGUGGAAAAGGAUGUGGCGUUGCCCAGACAACUAGGAUGUUGGCUUAGAAGCAGCCAUCAUUUAAAGAGUGCGUAAUAGCUCACUAGUCGAGUGACACUGCGCCGAAAAUGUACCGGGGCUAAACAUAUUACCGAAGCUGUGGAUUGUCCUUUGGACAAUGGUAGGAGAGCGUUCUAAGGGCGUUGAAGCAUGAUCGUAAGGACAUGUGGAGCGCUUAGAAGUGAGAAUGCCGGUGUGAGUAGCGAAAGACGGGUGAGAAUCCCGUCCACCGAUUGACUAAGGUUUCCAGAGGAAGGCUCGUCCGCUCUGGGUUAGUCGGGUCCUAAGCUGAGGCCGACAGGCGUAGGCGAUGGAUAACAGGUUGAUAUUCCUGUACCCCCUAUAAUCGUUUUAAUCGAUGGGGGGACGCAGUAGGAUAGGCGAAGCGUGCGAUUGGAUUGCACGUCUAAGCAGUAAGGCUGAGUAUUAGGCAAAUCCGGUACUCGUUAAGGCUGAGCUGUGAUGGGGAGAAGACAUUGAGUCUUCGAGUCGUUGAUUUCACACUGCCGAGAAAAGCCUCUAGAUAGAAAAUAGGUGCCCGUACCGCAAACCGACACAGGUAGUCAAGAUGAGAAUUCUAAGGUGAGCGAGCGAACUCUCGUUAAGGAACUCGGCAAAAUGACCCCGUAACUUCGGGAGAAGGGGUGCUCUUUAGGGUUAACGCCCAGAAGAGCCGCAGUGAAUAGGCCCAAGCGACUGUUUAUCAAAAACACAGGUCUCUGCUAAACCGUAAGGUGAUGUAUAGGGGCUGACGCCUGCCCGGUGCUGGAAGGUUAAGAGGAGUGGUUAGCUUCUGCGAAGCUACGAAUCGAAGCCCCAGUAAACGGCGGCCGUAACUAUAACGGUCCUAAGGUAGCGAAAUUCCUUGUCGGGUAAGUUCCGACCCGCACGAAAGGCGUAACGAUUUGGGCACUGUCUCAACGAGAGACUCGGUGAAAUCAUAGUACCUGUGAAGAUGCAGGUUACCCGCGACAGGACGGAAAGACCCCGUGGAGCUUUACUGUAGCCUGAUAUUGAAAUUCGGCACAGCUUGUACAGGAUAGGUAGGAGCCUUUGAAACGUGAGCGCUAGCUUACGUGGAGGCGCUGGUGGGAUACUACCCUAGCUGUGUUGGCUUUCUAACCCGCACCACUUAUCGUGGUGGGAGACAGUGUCAGGCGGGCAGGUUGACUGGGGCGGUCGCCUCCUAAAAGGUAACGGAGGCGCUCAAAGGUUCCCUCAGAAUGGUUGGAAAUCAUUCAUAGAGUGUAAAGGCAUAAGGGAGCUUGACUGCGAGACCUACAAGUCGAGCAGGGUCGAAAGACGGACUUAGUGAUCCGGUGGUUCCGCAUGGAAGGGCCAUCGCUCAACGGAUAAAAGCUACCCCGGGGAUAACAGGCUUAUCUCCCCCAAGAGUUCACAUCGACGGGGAGGUUUGGCACCUCGAUGUCGGCUCAUCGCAUCCUGGGGCUGUAGUCGGUCCCAAGGGUUGGGCUGUUCGCCCAUUAAAGCGGUACGCGAGCUGGGUUCAGAACGUCGUGAGACAGUUCGGUCCCUAUCCGUCGUGGGCGUAGGAAAUUUGAGAGGAGCUGUCCUUAGUACGAGAGGACCGGGAUGGACAUACCUCUGGUGUACCAGUUGUCGUGCCAACGGCAUAGCUGGGUAGCUAUGUGUGGACGGGAUAAGUGCUGAAAGCAUCUAAGCAUGAAGCCCCCCUCAAGAUGAGAUUUCCCAACUUCGGUUAUAAGAUCCCUCAAAGAUGAUGAGGUUAAUAGGUUCGAGGUGGAAGCAUGGUGACAUGUGGAGCUGACGAAUACUAAUCGAUCGAAGACUUAAUCAA
rnacentral:rRNA from 1 species